ACCAUCAUCAUUUAUAUCUCAUUCUCUCCCUUCUUAUUUGAGAAUUCAAAAUAUCUAGAACACCAAGAACAUCAUUCAUCCACAUCCAGAUCUCUAAUUCUCUCUCUUCAACAUCCAGAUCUCUAAUUCUAUCUCUCUCGUCACAUUCGCCGGAGAGAGUAAACCAUCAUCACCCCCAUUCAAUCUCUCCAACAUAGUACGACGGUACAAAUCUUCAUCAUCUUCAUCUAGAACACACGCAAAAGUGUGUGAGAGAGAAUCAUUUUUGAAGAUCUUCAUCGUGUUCAUCGAACGGUUCUAGAUCCGGACUGGGACUGGCAAGAAACCUAACAAAACAAAAACUCAAAAUUUAGAGAGUCUUCAAGUUCAGGGCUUAAUUGGGUAGAAAGUAACUGAUGUAUUGCAAAAUACAUCGGUAUUCGCGUCGGUUUUAGUCGUUAGUUAGAUAGUUUUAGUGUUAGUUUAGUUUAGAAUGUAUAUACUUUUGAUUAAAUUGUGUUUCCAGGUCUUUACAGCCAAAAGGAGCAAAAACGAGCAGAAAUCUGGAAAGGCGGAAGGCUGGCACGGAAACCGAGGAGUCGGGAGCUGAAACGAAGCGAAAAAUGCAGUUCUGGAGCUUCCAGGCGGCCCGCUUAGACUUUGAAACACAUCCAGGCGCCCCGCAUCAACUUAACAUGGAAAAACUGAAUUAUUUAAGUUCAGGCGGCCCGCCUGAACUUAAGGUUACCUCCAAAGCGGGCCGCGAGCCUUAUGAAGAUGGUUUCCAGUAUUUAACUCUAAGGCGGCCCGCGUUAACUCUUCAAUUUAUCUCAAGCGGGCCGCGUGAAGACCCUAUGUCGGCAACAAAAGUUGCGUGCAUGAAAAUUUAGGGUUUUGGGGUUAUAUAUUGAUGGAUAAACGUCUACAGCUGAUCAUCUACGAAACUAAACAACCUUGGGCAAGUUUUGACUGCUGAUUGAAGGCUGUUGAAGGGUUUGGAGCAUCUUGGAAGCUUGGAAUCAUUCGGGUACACUUUAGAAGCGUUCGGGAGUGAAGACCACGGGUUUUACCAUCCUAAUCUUUCGUUCUUUGUUCGUUUUUUAUGUGUAACAUGAUGAAUUCAGAAUUUAAUACGACUUUAUUUGCAUUCUUGAUUAUGUUUUCCGGCUAAAAACCAUCAACUACCUAGGCUAAUGACUAUGGCAUAAUAAAGUUUGGAUUUUUAUUUGAUUUUUGUCGUGGUUGUGGAUCUUUCUUGUAUUGUAAACGCUAUGGUAGUUUAUCUUGGUGCGUAUGCGUGCUUGUGAUUAUUUGAUUA